UACGGGGGGGGCAAGCGUUGUUCGGAAUUACUGGGCGUAAAAGGCUCGUAGGCGGCCAACUAAGUCAUACGUGAAAUCCCUCGGCUUAACCGGGGAACUGCGUCUGAUACUGGAUGGCUUGAGUUCGGGAGAGGGAUGCGGAAUUCCAGGUGUAGCGGUGAAAUGCGUAGAUAUCUGGAGGAACACCGGUGGCGAAGGCGGCAUCCUGGACCGAUACUGACGCUGAGGAGCGAAAGCCAGGGGAGCAAACGGG
rnacentral:rRNA from 1 species